rnacentral:rRNA from 1 species
GACAGAGGCCUCAAGCGUUAGGCGGAAUCACUGGGCUUAAAGCGUGUGUAGGCGGAUCGUUAAGUGUCUUGUGAAAUCCCACGGCUCACCCGUGGAACUGCUGGGCAUACUGGCGAUCUUGGGCCAACUAGGGGCAACUGGAACAAGCGGUGGAGCGGUGAAAUGCGUAGAUAUCUGGAGGAACACCGGUGGCGAAGGCGGCAUCCUGGACCGGUAUUGACGCGUGAGGCG